GCAUAUCAAUAAGCGGAGGAAAAGAAACCAACAGGGAUUGCCCCAGUAACGGCGAGUGAAGCGGCAAGAGCUCAAAUUUGAAAGCUGGCUCCUUCGGGGUCCGCAUUGUAAUUUGUAGAGGAUGCUUCGGGAGCGGUCCCCAUCUAAGUGCCCUGGAACGGGACGUCAUAGAGGGUGAGAAUCCCGUAUGGGAUGGGGUGUCCGCGCCCGUGUGAAGCUCCUUCGACGAGUCGAGUUGUUUGGGAAUGCAGCUCUAAAUGGGUGGUAAAUUUCAUCUAAAGCUAAAUAUUGGCCGGAGACCGAUAGCGCACAAGUAGAGUGAUCGAAAGAUGAAAAGCACUUUGAAAAGAGAGUUAAAAAGCACGUGAAAUUGUUGAAAGGGAAGCGCUUGCGACCAGACUCGCUCGCGGGGUUCAGCCGGCAUUCGUGCCGGUGUAUUUCCCCGCGGGCGGGCCAGCGUCGGUUUGGGCGGUCGGUCAAAGGCCCUCGGAAGGUAACGCCCCUCGGGGCGUCUUAUAGCCGAGGGUGCAAUGCGACCUGCCCGGACCGAGGAACGCGCUUCGGCUCGGACGCUGGCAUAAUGGUCGUAAGCGACCCGUCUUGAAAACGGACC
rnacentral:rRNA from 1 species